rfam:Oryza rufipogon genomic scaffold, chr06
AAUAAGCACAGUCAUAAGUUUCCGCGCACAAUUUUAGUCGUUCGUCUUAUUUUUUUUUUAUAAUUAGCAUUUUUUUUUAUAAUUAAGCAUUUUUAUUGCUAUGAGAUGAUAAAACAUAAAUAGUACUUUACUCGUGACUUAUGUUUUUAAUUUUUUUUAAAAAAAAUUCAAAUAAGACGAACGGUUAAAGUUUGACGCGGAAAAUCAUGGUUGCACUUAUU